UACGUAGGGUGCGAGCGUUGUCCGGAAUUAUUGGGCGUAAAGAGCUCGUAGGCGGUCUGUCGCGUCUGCUGUGAAAACUCGGGGCUUAACCCCGGGCCUGCAGUGGGUACGGGCAGACUAGAGUGCGGUAGGGGAGACUGGAAUUCCUGGUGUAGCGGUGAAAUGCGCAGAUAUCAGGAGGAACACCGGUGGCGAAGGCGGGUCUCUGGGCCGUAACUGACGCUGAGGAGCGAAAGCGUGGGGAGCGAACAGG
rnacentral:rRNA from 1 species